CUAACACAGGUUCGUUUUCCUUCCCUUAUCAUUCAAAGGUUCAUCCUCCCCACAUCUGUUAUCGAAUAUAGAAUCCUACGAGAGACAGCUUGAAGGAAGACAACCAGAGUUUCAGCCAUGAUAGAAAUCCAACCAAACCUGUUACAAGCUUCUUACGCCGUCCUUUGGAUUCUACUGGGAAGCGCUGCAACAUCAAGAAGAGUCUGCCAGAAGAUGACAGUUGGAGAUGUCAGAAGAUCGAACAAAACUUACGCUUUCAGAAAACACAGAAUGAGGCUCCACAUCCACAAAUAAAGAGCCUUUGCAGAAUUGAAGAACGGCAAGGAGCAGGCAGCUAUGGGAUGGCUGAUCAGAGUGACCCACCAAAAACAAACUGCUCAUUAAUCCUUGAGCACCAAAGCAGUGGGCUUUGAAGUAUUCGGCUGUUUUCUAAGGACCAUUGGAUAUAGGAUUUUGUCUUUCACCUAUUUAAUAAAACAUAUCUUUCUAAUUUAUAAUAUAUAAAUGUCAUUUUCAAAAAUUUGUCUUUCAUUUUUUUAAGUAAAAGUUUUAUGGAUAGCCAACUAGGCAAAAGCCCAGUACAUAGGACGUAUACAAGAGGAGGCACCUGGUUAGGAAGAAGGGGAUUUUUGUUUUUGAUUGUUACCGGGUGUCUGAGAACAAAGUCCCGACUAAUCCAAGGGCGCACGGUCCUCCUAAUUCAAGGGUAAGUUCUCCCAUUCCGAUGACCCCUAGAAAUUGUUUGCACCCAAAAGGAUUUGAAUCUUAUACCUAGAGGGAGCAUACCACCAAGACCAAGGCCUUUACCACUUGAGCCAACCCCUAGGGGUUAGGAAGAAGGGGAAUGAAUACACUACAAAAAUAAUAGUAUUUUCCUCAGGGUCUUUUCCUUUAAUUAGGCUUCAGACAUUAGGGUCUUUUCCUCCUUCAGAUCCGACUGCCUCCCCCUUCAUACCCGAGAGUUCAGCCUCCAGCAUAUAUCUCAGGCUAUUAGUUUAUUCUCCUCCUCACUGGCACCGAGAUCAAAUUUAUGAAACUUUUGAGAAAAAACUCUUGAAGAAAGGUUUUUAUGGGAUUUUGUGAAAGUGAUGGAACCCAUUAGAAAUGUGUUUGGAUUGAGAAGGCUUUUUAAAGAUGUUUUUAGUGGGGUCUGAAAACAUGGUGAGAUCCAUUGAAAAUGUUUUUGAGGAGUUUUUUGUGAGAGAAUUUUUUGAGUUGAGUGAGAUUAUUUUGGUGUAAAGAUGUCUAGAUAAAAACUAAGAAGAUUUUCUCACAAACCUAUUUUCGCCAAACAUCAUAAAGAUUCAACUUGUUACAAAGUUUUCCAUUUCCCUCGACCCACAAAAGAAAAGAUCAACCUUUAUUUUCUACCAGUCAUAACCCAUAGGCAGCUAACUACUAAACUUACUUUCCAACGAUACACCAACCCAGAAUAUAGUAAUGUAAAUAUUGAGCCAAAAUUUUUCUAUCUACUUGAGUUGCAACUAUUGCACUUUUCAAUAAAGGAUGAAUUAUUAUUUUAAAAAAUAAAGUUAAGCUUUCACAUAAUUGGGGUCAUAAAUUAGAUAAUAGUGCACAAGUAGAUUGGUUUUGAAGUUCAAAUUUCAAUCAUUUGUCAAUUUGAAAUUUAAAAUCAAAGACAAGCUAGGAAACCCCAAUUUCAGAUAUCAGCUAAGAUUAAUGAAUUAAGGAACUAUGAUUGCCAUUGAGAGUGUGAAUAUCUCCAAUAAUACAAAACGCUUAUAGAAGUCUCAUUUUUUUCUUUUAAGAGGGGCACAAAUUCAAGCCCUAAUGUGUAUGAAUGCAUACAAUUUCGCAUGUGUUAGUGUAUGUGUGAGGCAUUUGAAAUCAAGCUGACCACUAACUUUAGGUGAGAGUACGUGGAUUCUGGUUUGUGCCUGUGUAUCUAUGGUCAUUCACUGACUCAUACAGAUGCAACCGGUUUGUGCCUGUGUAUCUAUGCUCAUUCACUGAUUCAUAAUUGAUGCAACCACAGUACCAACCGAUCUUAGACAACUUAGACACUGAUUAGCUUGCAAUCAGAAAAAUUGUAUGCCAAACAAGGUAAGCUACAUAAAGGUAUCACAACACCAAAUUUCCUACCACAUAUUGCAGGAUACGCCCAAGGAAACCUUUUUGAUAGGUGGAAAAGCCCAAGGAAACUGAUACCUAAAGCCUCCAUUUCCCUCAACCCACUAAAGAAAGAUUGAGCUUCUAUUCUAUCGAUUUUAACUCAUUGGCAGCUAAAUGUUGAUUUACUUCCAAAUGGAACACUGACCUAGAAGAUAGUAAAUAAAAACUGAGACAGUUUUCACAUGAUUGGGAUCAUAAAUUACAUUGUAGUGCUCAAGUAGACUGGUUUUGAAGUCCAAAAUCUAAUCACUUGACAAUUUGAAAUUAUAUACUCAUAGAAUAGAGAUUGCAGAUAUGGGUUCUUAAUAAAGAAAGGAGCCAGAACUGGCAUUGCGAGUGAAUACCACUGGCAAUAUAGAAAACUGUUUUAAGUCUCACUUUUACUUAUAUGUCUUUAAACUAAUUGGUAUUCCACAGUGGGAGAUGGGUAUGAACUCAAGCCCUAAUACUUAGAGUGCAUACAAUUCCCCAUAUGUAUUAUGUAUGAAGAAUAGAAGAUCAAGCUGACCAACAAUUUCAAGCGAGAAAAAGGGGAUUCAAGUUUGUGCCUUUGUAUAUAUGCUGAGUCACAGAUUCAUACACGAUGCAACUGCGAUAAAUUCAUCUUGAUCCAAAAGAAAAUGUAGCAGAUAAGCAAAAGCAAGAA